CAGAGGCGCUCCGUCUAUUUGCGCUGUCUUCGAUAAAUAAAAUAAAAUUGAAAAGUGUACGGAACUCUUUAAUCAAAGAAAUCCACGAAGAUAACCAUUUUAUGAAUUUUCAGCGACUACAGAAGUAGAUUGGAAUCGUUUGAAGAUAGAGAAAUCAAAGUCCUGUUAAUAAUCGCGGAACUCUUUUUGGUUUUAAUAAAAACAUUUUUUUUGUCUGUGGUUUAUGAAAAGUUCUGGCACACGUCUUUUCGCGAGUUGUCAGUGCGUAUUAGCUAAGAUGACGCUCAAAAUUUCUGUUUCCCUAAAAAAAUUGGUUCCUUUUGUUCACAAAUUAAAAAAUCAACCAUCCAACGAUAGCUUCAAGAUGCCACCAGAGACACCCAUGUUCAACCAAAACACGAUUAAAUUGGCGACCGUUCGUAUUACGCCAUCUCUCCGGUUGCUUUCCUUCAGGGUCUCCAAAAACUACUUGUACUUGAGCUUUGCUAAACCUGGCACCGACUUACUAGAAUAUGACGAGUUAUGCUCUGACAGUUGAUGGUUACGGAAAAAUGUGUAUAUCCGAAAAUGUGAAAAUGUUUUUUUUUUUGAAGUUGAAAAAUUAAGUUUGUCGGUGAUCCUGUAUCAAUAGUGGAAAUACAUAUUUUAAUCCUGCUA